rnacentral:lncRNA from 1 species
AACCAAAUGGUUGGAAGUGCAAAUUAGGUCAGAACUUGCCAACUCGUGUCCCAAAAUUUUCAUUCUCAAGCAUGCUUUGGAUCACUUGCAAUCUCGGAUCAAACCUAAACUUUUCUUUCACCUAUCAAUCCCAACACCUUCCCUAUAAAUAGGGUAAGGUGUUCCAUCUCAUAACCAAACUUGAAGAGCGAAAAGCACCCUGCUGCAAAACCGUGUUUCACCAUUAAAAAUAAAGUUUUCAUUUUCAAAUUCUGAACCAUUUCAACUCAAACCAAG